rnacentral:rRNA from 1 species
GAUGAACGCUAGCGGCAGGCCUAACACAUGCAAGUCGAGGGGCAGCACAGAAACAGCAAUGUUUUGGUGGCGACCGGCGGACGGGUGCGUAACGCGUAUGCAACCUACCUUUAACAGGGGGACAACGGAGAGAAAUUUCCACUAAUACCCCAUAACAUCGAUCAAGGCAUCUUGAUUGGUUGAAAACUCCGGUGGUUAAAGAUGGGCAUGCGUUGUAUUAGGUAGUUGGUGAGGUAAUGGCUCACCAAGCCUACGAUACAUAGGGGGACUGAGAGGUUAGCCCCCCACACUGGUACUGAGACACGGACCAGACUCCUACGGGAGGCAGCAGUGAGGAAUAUUGGUCAAUGGGGGCAACCCUGAACCAGCCAUGCCGCGUGCAGGAAGACGGCUCUAUGAGUUGUAAACUGCUUUUAAACAGGGAUAAAGCACAGUAUGUACACUGUGUUGAAGGUACUGUAAGAAUAAGGAUCGGCUAACUCCGUGUCAGCCGCCGCCGUAA